rnacentral:rRNA from 1 species
CAGCCGCCGCGGGAAUACAGAGGGUGCGAGCGUUAAUCGGAUUUACUGGGCGUAAAGCGUGCGUAGGCGGCUUCUUAAGUCGGAUGUGAAAUCCCUGAGCUUAACUUAGGAAUUGCAUUCGAUACUGGGAAGCUAGAGUAUGGGAGAGGAUGGUAGAAUUCCAGGUGUAGCGGUGAAAUGCGUAGAGAUCUGGAGGAAUACCGAUGGCGAAGGCAGCCAUCUGGCCUAAUACUGACGCUGAGGUACAAAAGCAUGGGGAGCAAACAGGAUUAGAGACCCCUGUAGUCCCUGUCUCUUAUAC